ensembl:lncRNA
GUCAAUUUCAUACACUUUGUAACAACCCAGCACGUACAUCUGAUGACUCCUCAUAACACCACACAGCGCUGAGGACUCCGUACGCCUCUGUGGUCAAUAAGUAGCUGAAAAACUAUGCUGAGUACUUCAACAUCGUCAAGUGGUCAGCCUGCAUUUGAUUACAACCUACCAUUGUUUGCAGGCUCCUUAUUACUACUCCAACUGCUCAAGAAGCAAACGUCUGUGUUGAAUCAUACAGCAGUUGGCAAGGUGAAGUGUAGCACCAUCAGAAGAAAUUGAGGGACAUGAGAAUCGCUGUACAAUUUCAACCAAAGAUGAAUUCAUGAUUAGCUGUGGAUGACCUCCAUAUUUAUGUACUAUAGAUCCAAUAGCUUGGUUUGGGUGCCAUUUAUCCAAGAAAC